UUGCAUCUCGUGACCUUUAAAAGCUAGAAUUUUUUUAUUAAACUUAGACCUUGUCAGAAAAAAAGAAGCAGCACAUUGUCUUUAUCAUCACAUGAAGAGGGAAACAUUAUCGACCAGAAAAACAAGCUAAACAGCCUGGACCUGCAAACCAAGAGAGCCAAAGAUAAACUACAAGAGGAAUAAGAAACUACAUACUUGUGAGAACAAUUGAAGUAACUUAAGCACAGGACAGUUGGCCUCCACACUUCCAGACUAUCAAGUUGAAGCACUGUCCAGCUCAUCAAAGGCCUGUGAACCGCACCGCUAUGGCAGAUAAUAAAGAUGAGGAAACAGAACGCAAACAUCAACAGAUAAAAGAAAACCCAGAGAUCCUGACUGAGGACAGAAACAGAAGAAACAGACUCAUUAACCUGCUCUUUUACACACCACGGUCACAUGUGUGGAAGACAAACAUCUGUGAUUAUUUUACAAAUGUUGACAAGAAAUAUAUUGAUAUCAAAGGGGAACAAAUGUCUAUAUAUGAAGAUGAGGAACAUAAAAAUAGAGUUCUUUCAGUGAACUUUUAUGAAACCGGGAUUGUUCUGAUACAUGCACAACAGGACGACCUCAUAACAUUUCAGAACACCUUCAACACCUUAAAAGAACGCAUUCAGGUUCCCUAAUCUAUCUAUCUAUUUAUCUAUCUAUCUAUCUAUCUGUCUGUCUGUCUGUCUGUCUGUCUAUCUAUCUAUCUAUCUAUCUAUCUAUCUGUCUAUGCAAUGCCAUUAACAUUGACAAAUCAACAAUUUGUAACAGUGAUUAAAUAUAAAUGAUUUGUAGGUUUUUAGGAAAUUUAAAGGUGAAAUUUUGAGGUGAUUUAAAGAUAAAGGACAUAUAUCUGAUGUAUUUCAUUGAUUGUUUUCUCAUCCAUAUAUGCAUACUCAUUCACAUUCAUGUUUUCCAUUAUGUCUAUUAAUGAGAAUGUGUUGUUGUGUGUUCUUAAGUAAAGACAAGUGAAUGUUUCUUUGUUAUCAUUUUCAAUGGCAUCAGAUGUUGUGAAGCAGUAAUUUUCAGUCUUUGUUUGAUUUAAUAAAACAUGUUGAGUUAGAUUCUAGUCAGACAAGGUCAGAC